UCAGACGAUGCGUCAUGCAUAUCAAUAAGCGAGGAAAAGAAACUAACAAGGAUUCCCUUAGUAACGGCGAGUGAAGCGGGAAGAGCUCAAAUUUGAAAUCUUCAAGGUUUUACCUUGACGAAUUGUAGUUUAAAGAAGUGUUUUCUGCUGAAGUUUUGGUAAAAGUUCUUUGGAAUAGGUACAUCACUAGAGGGUGAGAAUCCCGUCUAUGAUUGCGAUUUGUAGCUUUGUGAUACACUUUCAAAGAGUCGGAUUGUUUGGGAAUGCAGUCCAAAAUGGGAUGGUAAAUUUCUUCUAAGGCUAAAUAUUGGCGAGAGACCGAUAGCGAACAAGUACCGUGAGGGAAAGAUGAAAAGAACUUUGAAAAGAGAGUUAAAUAGUACGUGAAAUUGUCAAAAGGGAAGCGUUUAACACCAGUGUUGUUUUCUGAAAAUCAACCUCUGUUAGCUUUAUGCAUGUUUGUUUAGACCUAAUCAGCUAUCUUGCAUGUUCUAUUGUUUGCAGUGGUGCACUUUUCAGUUUACAGGUCAACAUCAGUUUUUUUUACCGUAAAAAAGUUAAAGAAAGGUAGCUCAUGGCUCCGGUCGUGAGUGUUAUAGUCUUUUUCCUAUGCGGUAGGAGAGACUGAGGUCUGCAGCGUAGACUCUUCGGGUUAGAUACAUUGGUGCUAUGUGAUAGCAUUUUAUAGACAACUUGUUGACUAUAGUUAGUCUAUGUAGCAUUACUCGCUUAUGCUAUUAUUACCUACGCUUAGGAUGUUGACUGAUAUGUAGUCGUA
rnacentral:rRNA from 1 species